rnacentral:lncRNA from 1 species
UGCAGAUGGGUACAAGACCAUUCACCACCUCUGUACAACCCCAGUCAGCCAGGCCCUGCCUCUGGAGCUGCAGCUGGCUUCCCGGGUCUGUCACACCUCCAGCCAACUCAGUGCACCACCACAGUUUCACCAACAGAGGGCAGCACUACAACACAUCGCUGCCCAGCCUGACAGACACAGGUAAAAUGCUUUUAUUACAUUUUUUUAUUGAACCUUUAUUUAUCUAUCUCUCCCAGGCUCUGCUUCAUAAGUUGUUUUCUGACCAAAACCUAGACUUUAUAGCAACAUUUGAAAUUGAAGUGCUGUGAUACAGGGUUGCAUUAAAUUAUUUAGUAAAUAUGAUUUGGUCAUCGUCUCCACUUUCUCUCUCACUACCUUCUGCACUCCACGUGGGAAAACUUUGCAUGUCAGGAGUAUCAUUACAACAACCUCAUAUAAUGUGAAACUAUUGAAUCUCUUUGCAGGAUAUUAAAUGAAGGUGUGCCCCGCGUGGAGGUGACUGAGUCUGAUGGAAAGGACUGUGUGAGUCACCUGCCUCCCCAGACUUCAGACAGCCUGGCUGACUGGCAGAGGAUCGCUGAGUUUUACGUAGAGAAGCCCAGGAUGAUGCUUCAUGGACAGGCGGUGAGGAGGAUCAGCACUAUGUUUAUACAACUUUCCCCUCCAAACAUUUUGUCUAGAAAGUGUUUCACCAUCCAACAAGAUGAUCCACUAGGUGGCACCAAACAUAUUUGUAACUCAUUAGAAACAGGAGUCUGGGGACUGCUUAUAACAUGAUACUAACACUGUAGCUAUCUGGGAUUGUUUAAGAAUGUCAAAUGUUUCAGUUCCAAUGUUUCAGUUUCAGUUCCGCAUUAUCUUUUUAAUGUCACGUGUGAGUUUGUUUUAUUCAAGGGGCCUUUUCAUUAGUCUAGAUGAGUCACCUGUCUUGAAGUGUCUAUCCUCCCAGUUAUCUGUGUGUCUCAUACAGUAUCUCUCUCCUUCCUCCCAGACCUCUCUGUGUUCCAACGAGCUGAAGAUGUUCUGGCAUCCAGCGCCUCCUAAGUUCAGCUGCUCUCCUGCAUUCGUCAAACACAAACUCUUUCCCAAGUACCAGGCAACGCGGAAAGAUCUCUCCAGAGAGGAGCUCUAUGGUGAUCUACAGGACCUGGUGGAAUCAGCCUGUGACCUGACAGAGAUGGAGCCAACCACCUCAGUGGUCAGUGUGUGCUUUAGUUACCCCCCCCCCCCCCCCCCCCCCCUCCCCCCUUCUAGCAUGCCCUUACGAACGUGUUGGAUCUUCCUACAGGAAAAUGUGCUGUCCAGAAAGUUCAAGUCUAUGAUAGACCUCAGAGUAACUGAGCAGUCACCUCAACCCUACAUUGACGAAGAACAGGUGAGUGUAUAUGAAAAAUGUCAUGUCGUUCAAUAA